rfam:Xenorhabdus doucetiae str. FRM16 chromosome, complete genome.
UAGCGUGAUAAGGCUUAUUAAUGAUCCGGUCGCUUGUGAGGAUCACCUUCGGGCAGCGACAACAACACUCCUGUAGCCUGCAAGGGAGUACACCGAUGUGUGGUACAUCUGCGCACCUUUGGAAGCAGAUAUCGUUAAGUUUAAUUACGAUGAAGGUUUCU